rnacentral:rRNA from 1 species
AUUGAACGCUGGCGGCAGGCCUAACACAUGCAAGUCGAGCGGAGCGGCGGACGGGUGAGGAAUGCCUAGGAAUCUGCCUGGUAGUGGGGGAUAAAGUCCGGUAACGGGCGCUAAUACCGCUUACUAUCAGAUGAGCCUAGGGCGGAUUAGCUAGUUGGUGGGGUAAAGGCCUACCAAGGCGAAGAGCCGUAACUGGUCUGAGUGGAUGAUCAGUCACACUGGAACUGAGACACGGUCCAGACUCCGACGGGAGGCAGCAGUGGGGAAUAUUGGACAAUGGGCGAAAGCCUGAUCCAGCCAUUCCGCGUGUUUGAAGAAGGUCUUCGGGUUGUAAAGCACUUUAAGUUGGGAGGCGUUACCAACAGAAUAAGCACCGGCUAACUUCGUGCCAGCAGCCGCGGUAAUAC